rnacentral:pre_miRNA from 1 species
AAUGUAGUGUCAAAGUGCUUACAGUGCAGGUAGUACUAUGAAAUGUCUACUGCAAUGGAGGCACUUCUAGCGCUACUUU